rnacentral:rRNA from 1 species
GUGCAGCAGUCGCGAAAACUCCGCAAUACGCGAAAGCGUGACGGGGCCAUCCCGAGUGCCGUCCGCUGAGGAUGGCUUUUCCCUAGUGUAGAUAGCUGGGGGAAUAAGGAGAGGGCAAGUCUGGUGUCAGCCGCCGCGGUAAUACCAGCUCUCCGAGUGGUAGGGACGAUUAUUGGGCUUAAAGCGUCCGUAGCCGGCUCAGCAAGUCUUCCGUUAAAUCCAACGAUUCAAUCGUUGGACUGCGGGAGAUACUGUUGAGCUAGGAGGCGGGAGAGGCCGACGGUAUUCCCGGAGUAGGGGUGAAAUCCUAUAAUCCCGGGAGGACCACCAGUGGCGAAGGCUGUUGGCUAGAACACGCCCGACAGUGAGGGAUGAAAGCUGGGGGAGUGAACCGGAUUAGAUACCCGGGUAGUCC